ensembl:lncRNA
CUCAUGUGGGGUGAUGGAUCAGGGCUUCAACAUUAGACCGAAAAGAACCCCAAUCCCCUCUCAGGAAGAAAUCAAUGAAUGCACUCCAACACCACUCCACAUCCCCCAUUCUGACCCCAAACCUCUCCCCACGAGCCCCCAAACCCCCCACGUACCCAUGCCACGUCAUGUCUCUGCACCCACAAGUCCCACCUGUACCUCACACCUCGCCUUCUCCUGUGAAGCACUCUGCUCCUGUAGGCUGUGGUCCACAUCCCCUUAUCCUCCCCAAAUCCACCCAUGUUCUGAUCCGUGUUCCCCAGUAUCCCCAGUACCACCCACUUCACUUUCACCCACAUCUGUGCCCUACACCUUCUCCAGCUCCUCAUUCCUCACCUGCAGAAGCCAUCCAUGCCACAGCACCGGGAGGUUGUACGGGAUCUGGAGGCAGGUCAGGGGGAGGAGAGGCCAAAGAUGGGCUAUGGGGGUCCUGGCAUGGUGAUGGGGACCUGUCAGGGAACAUGGGGUUCCCUGGGGUUCAGGGAGUUCCCAGGGGGGAUCUUGGAGGUGUAAAGGAGGUCUGAGGGAGGAAAUAGGAGGACUCCGUGGAAGCCCAGUGGGGACAUGGGGUGAUGCUGGGGAUUGUGGGGCACCAUGUGGGUAUGGGCCAGCUACGGGGGAGGUGUACUGCGUCUGAGGGGGUCCUUGAGGGGCUCCAGGGCUCUGUGGGGGGCUACAGGGUGUCUCUAGGGGUCUUGCUGGGAAACACUGGGAGGGAUAUAUGGGCUCUGAGGGAAUGAUGGGUGGGCUGUCAUGAGAAAGGAAAG